GACGAACGCUGGCGGCGUGCUUAACACAUGCAAGUCGUACGACAGCAACUGCUUCGGUGGUUGUAUGGAGUGGCGAACGGGUGAGUAACACGUGAGUAACCUGCCCCCUUCUUUGGGAUAACAUGCGGAAACGUGCGCUAAUACUGGGUAUUCUUGCUUCACUGCAUGGUGGGGUUUGGAAAGGGUUUCCGGUGGGGGAUGGGCUCGCGGCCUAUCAGCUUGUUGGUGGGUGAUGGCCUACCAAGGCGU
rnacentral:rRNA from 1 species